rnacentral:rRNA from 1 species
UACGGGGGGGGCAAGCGUUGUUCGGAAUUACUGGGCGUAAAGGGCUCGUAGGUGGCCAACUAAGUCAGACGUGAAAUCCCCAGGCUCAACCUGGGAACUGCGUCUGAUACUGGAUGGCUUGAAUUCGGGAGAGGGAUGCAGAAUUCCAGGUGUAGCGGUGAAAUGCGUAGAUAUCUGGAGGAACACCGGUGGCGAAGGCGGCGUUCUGGACUGCAACUGACACUGAGGAACGAAAGCCAGGGGAGCAAACGGG